rnacentral:tRNA from 1 species
GGCUCCGUAGCUCAGGGGAUAGAGCACCGCUCUCCUAAAGCGGGGGUCGCAGGUUCGAAUCCUGCCGGGGCCGCCA